UCUGGUGGCGAGUGGCGAACGGGUGAGUAACGCGUGGGUAACCUACCCCUAAGUGGGGGAUAACUCCGGGAAACUGGGGCUAAUACCGCAUGUGGUUCUUCGCCUUAGGGUGAAGAACUAAAGCCGUAAGGCGCUCGGGGAGGGGCUUGCGUCCGAUUAGCUAGUUGGUAGGGUAAUGGCCUACCAAGGCGAUGAUCGGUAGCUGGUCUGAGAGGAUGUCCAGCCACACGGGGACUGAGACACGGCCCCGACUCCUACGGGAGGCAGCAGCAAGGAAUAUUGCGCAAUGGGCGAAAGCCUGACGCAGCGACGCCGCGUGGGGGAUGAAGGCUUUCGGGUUGUAAACCCCUUUUCUCAGGGAAGAAUAAUGACGGUACCUGGGGAAU
rnacentral:rRNA from 1 species